GGUCGAAUCCCAUUGUGGCUGGGCAGGGACGAUCAGCUUACAAACCAGGCGCUGACAGAUAUGCUGAGAAGCCAAGAGUUCCUGGACAGAGGCAACUCUAAGCCAGAUGGAGACGUCCCAGGUGUGGGAGCAAUUUCAGGACUGGGUCUGUCCUUGCCUAACCUGGGGGUGCAUUGGCUGCUAACAUGAUCUGAGGGCUCAGAUAACUUGUUAAAUACCCAGAGAAUGACCCCUCCUUGGGGUCAGCCUCACCCCACACCAGCUGAGAGGGCACCAGCGAGGCUGGGUGCAGUCCAGCUUGCUGUUAAGGGGACCUACAGUGGAGAAACUUCUGGGUCUGGACCUCCUUGGGGCGGAAGGGGGGCUGGGAGAGGGGCUUGUGUGGCUGUGUUGGGGGUUCUGCUUCUUUUUCCCCAGCAUCCCCUCCCCUGCAGAUCCUCCUCCCUCUUUUCCUGCAGGGUUUGUUCCCAUCUGUAAUGACAAAGGAGGCGAAGCUGCCACAAGUAGCCCCGGGUGGUUUGGCCGAAUCCCCCCGAGCAUGGGAGCAGUGACAGGGGAGAAGCCUUUGCAAAGUGGAGCCAGCAGAACACAGGAACCAACCUGCACUGCUAGUGUGACUGGCGCGGUGGGGAGCUGGGCCUCUCAGCAGCACCCGGCUCUGGAGCUGCAGUUUGCCAUGGCCAAGGCCAGGAGGCAGUGUCUGCGGGAGCAGCACCAGCGGCUCAUCCAGCAGGAACUGCUGAAGCUGGAGGAGGAGCUAGCAGGCAACCAGGAGCUCCCUCCUGCCCAGCGGGACGUGUGGUGCUGGCCCAAGGAGAAGGCGGUGCUGGCCCUGCAGCUGGAAGCACUGCAGAAGGAAUGGGCCGAGGCAGAGAAGGACCUGGAGGCACUGUACCAGCAGCACAGACUGGAAGCGGAGGCUCAGAAACAACAUGUGCUACAGGUCACCAGGGGCUAAGCUGCCGUUCUCCAUGCGUCCGGUAAUAAGGGGGUUGGGGAGGGAUCAAGGCAUGGCCCAGAACAGCCCAGUGGAAGCCAGUCACCCCCCCUGGCUGUUUGAGGCUCCAUGGACAAUGAGUUGG
rnacentral:lncRNA from 1 species